UCCUGUGUGGCUCAGUUGGUAGAGCAUUUUGUUUGCAACACCAGGGUUGUGGGUUCAAUUCCCACUGGGGGCC
rnacentral:tRNA from 1 species